ACGACGGAUCUAUAACGUUUAAAGUCAAAUGAGAUAAGAGAAUCGGCGAUCGAACUUGUCGAUGAGAUCGAUGAACGAGGGGGUAGGUCGUGUCGGGAAGGACGGACGAAGGCAAGGUGCAUGGGCUUUUCGAGAGAAGCGAUCGGGGACAGGGAAGGGCCGACUACUGUCUAGGAUUCUCGGCGAACAACCAACGUCACAUUGUCAGGUGACUGGAGUUCGACGACCUUCACCGAAUCAUUUUCACGAUCAUCGAUCUAGUCAUUCGCACAGACAUGAAGCGCUGUCGGUCGCUUAUCGUUCUCCACCACCCUUACGACCGUCGCUAUCGCCUUCGCUACCAACACCAUUGGCAUCAGCAGCAACAGCAGCAUCACUACCAUCGCCGCCAUCACCACCACCACCACCACCACCACUACCACCACCACCGUCGUCAUCAUCAUCGUCGAGCGUCGAUCCUACAGCGGUGCAGCGCGGUUGCGCCUUGCAUUCGAGGCUCGAACACCCGGUGACCACGUCCAACCCCGGGAUGGACGGCAAGAAGAUCGUCCAAGCGACAACGGCAGUCGUAGCGGUGGGCCAGGUGCGCAACAAGAACAACGAUGCCACGGGAUUAGCGGCUUCCGUUUCCGGAAUCCGUCGACGAAGCGGACCCCAAGGAUUGCGAUCGCCCGCUGCGAAAAGACCUCUAUCAGCCCCGGUUGCCUUGCAGGGCUGGUUACACAAGCAAGGCUCCGAAGGACUCAUGCUUUGGAAGAAACGCUGGUUCGUCUUAUCGGAAUAUUGUCUCUUCUAUUACAAAGGUCCAGAGGAAGAAAAACUCCUGGGUUCGAUACUCCUACCUUCGUAUAGGGUUACCCUUUGCAGACCCGAAGACAAGGUCAACAGGAAGUUCGCCUUCAAGGCUGAGCACGCGAACAUGAGGACUUACCACUUUGCCGCGGAGAGCCGUGAAAGCAUGAAUCAAUGGGUAAACGCGCUCACUCUGGCGACCCUUCUGCAGGAUCCCAGUCCCGGAAGGGGCGAAGCUGCCGUGGUCAUAGAGAUAGGAGGACAACCGGAUGGUGAACGAAGCGCUAGACCAAGCGUUUCUUCGAUCUCCUCUGUAUUGAAUCAAAGUGCCGACGACAGCGACUCCGGCUUUCACGGUUUUCUAUCCCGAGACGAUCCCAGUCACGCGUCCAACAACAAUUCCAGCCCUAACAGCGUCAACACUGCCUCCUUCCCGAAUCUUAGUGGGAGUAACGGUAACGGAAAUGCCAACAACAACAAUCUUAAAGACGUUCAGCAUAUACCCAAUGGUUGGCCACAACAGUCUUCUCAAUACGGUCAAUCAGGCUCGUCGCAACAUCAACACUCGCAGUACUGUUUCUCCGAACAUUCUGUUUCUCAACAAGGUCACUCUCAUCAGCAUCAAGCAAUGUUGCAUCAGCCACAUCAGAAUGUCCCUCAGGUUUAUCAGCACAAGCAGCAACAGCACCAGCAGCAGCAGCAACAGCAACAACAACAACAACAACAACAACAACAACAACAACAACAACAACAACAACAGCAGCAGCAGCAGCAGCAGCAACAACAACAACAACAACAGCCACAUGUUAGUCAGAUUAAUGUGCAAGCUGCCCAAUCUACGCCUCGAAAAUUUGGUCAGCCUAUAUACGCGAACGCACCGCCAAAACCCAGGAGACUAACCGACGGAUCCAAUGAGUAUUCCACUCCUUCUCCUGAGCCAGGUUAUCGAAGAUCUCCUGUCUCGCCAGACGUUACCCUAACCAGCAAAAGUUCCAUGUCCGAUUACGAUAGGAACAGCAUCAUUUAUGCCACCGGAAUGAGUCAGCCGGCGCAGCAAAGUUUAAGGACGGACAAGUCUGGCUUGAAUUAUGGUUAUUGUCAAGUGCAAUCAACCGAAAGACGUACUCCUGACACUUACGGACGAAGUGCGAAGCCUAGACCCAACAGAGGAAACGGCGACUACGAAGAGGUGUACGGUAUACCUCAGCUUUAUCAGCGACCAGCUGGACCUGUUGUUGGAUAUACCAAGGGAAAUGCACCAGCUCCCAUACCUAUUCCCACUUACGCGCAACAUCAGCAGAUGCAUCAACAACAACCACAAAUUCAUUCGCCAAUAACGCCUCCCAAUGUUCCCAUAAUAAGACAGCCAAUGGCCCAUCAACUACCACCACCGCGACCUCACAGUGCCGAUUUUCUCGAGUACGAAGCAGCAAGACGACCUCAGCAACAAAAUCUUGCGCAAAACGAAAGUUCUUUGAGCCAACAGAAACGCCCCCAAAGGCCUAAGUCGAGUCUAGAUAUAAUGAACCCAUCGGAUGCGACUAACGAUGGUUAUUAUUAUUCCGAGGAAAGAUACGCUGCACAAAUGCGGCAAUCAGCGGUGUAUCUCCAUCAAACGCCUCAGCAUCAUCAACAACAAAGAAACCAAUCGCUGUCGCGGGCCACCGUACCAUCAAAGAUACCGACGGUCCAUGAUAGAAACGGUGAUAUUAGAAUGGCUACUUUGCCCGAUUCUUCUUGUUCCACUUUGAGACGUUUGCAACGAGAGCAUACCCAUCCACAUCAACAUAAUAUAUCUGGUCAAACGUUGCAAAGACAUAAUGAAUUGUCCAACCCAGACGCAAAGAUGAGAAGAUCUUUACGUGAAAAGAUCUACGAAUCAAGUGCUCGCAAUACAUUGACACGCGAGUACGAAUCGUCGAUGAGUUGGAACAGAUCUUCCUCUCAUUCUAAUCAUGGAAUUAAUACGGCACAGUCGUGUCAGUCCGCUCACAGCGGAGCCAAACGAUGGGUCGAACAGCAACAGCAACAGCAACAGCAACAGCAACAGCAACAGCAACAACAACACCAACAACAGCAGCAGCAGCAGCAACAAUUUUAUAGAUCUGCAUCGGCACGUUUGCCAAGGUCCCGACAUCCUGGCGCUUUGGAUCAAGACGAGGAUGAUUACGGUGGACGGUCUUCCGCGGAACAAGAUACUCGCGAUGGCGAACGGAAAAUUCAACAGCGAGAAGAGUCAAUGAAGCGUUUGCUGGAGUGGAAACAACGCAUGUUACAAUCUCCCCUAACGCGAAAACCAUCCGGAUCGUUGAAUCGGAGCAGAGCACAGAACGAGCUGUCGAAUUAUUAUAAACAGCAAGCUCUUCUGGACCUGGCAGCUCACGAAGCUUCGGUAACAGAAGCUCGUCAUUCGCGAAGAAAGGAGGAAAGCCACAGGUCACACGUUAGAAGCAAAAGUUCCGAUGGUCGAAGAACCGUCACUUCCGUGUCACGAUACAACAGUUACUCGAGCGACGACGAAGAGAUGGGAGACGUUCGAAGAAAACGAACGCGCAGGCCCUCGCAUGCAGGAAGGAGCCCCCGACAUGCCGGUGACGAUCGUUCGUCCACGUCGACUACCCAAGAGAACGGAAGGGCAGCGAUACAAGGAAGCGUACGUACGAACGUUCCAGCGUUAUCAUCGGCGCAGUUAGGACAGACGAAUAUUCGAUCGAGGAACGAGAGUAAAAUACAUUUCAACGGCAAGACCUCCUUGGCAAGUCCAUCAAGUAUACCGCCUGACGCCGGUUAUGAGGAAAUAAGUUUCCCACCGAUGUCAAGGGAGACCCGUACGGAUGCGUACCUCGUCACGUCCGAAAAUGUCCGAUCUAAUAAAAUAGCGGAACGACGUCUCGAAUGUGGACAUUUCAAUGAGGCUCAGCGCAAGCACCAGACGACGUUGUUGAAAAAAUCAACGGGUAUAUUAAAGUCUUCUAGCCUGUACGAGAUCGACGAACGAUCGACAACAAUCAACAUUGCAAUUGGCAACGUUGAAAUGUAUAGUAAUACGAACGAUUAUGUCCCCGCGGACGCGUGGCCUUCCGUUCAUAAGUGCGUUCAAUGGGAUUCCAAUGAGGAUAAGGAUAAGGAGGAAUGGGAUUCCAAUAUAGAUGAAAGCAAACUCAUAAAGGAAUUUUCUUAUCAGUAUAUAAAGCCAAAACAGGCCGAGCGGGCCGAGGAGGCUUGCGGGAAAGUGGUGGAGGAUCGUUCGUUAAAUACGAUCGAAUCUACGAAUCUCGUACAGUCGAGAAUAAGAUCAUUCGAAUCGAACGCUGAAAAUGGUAGUCCCGUUAAGGAGAUGUUUACCAUGCAGGAAGCAUUGAAAGCUUCGCCAGUCGAGACGUCCAUCGAGGCACAUGUUUCGAGAUUGGACUCGUCGAGAAAGACAUCUUCGAUUAUUCGCAGCUUUGCUUUGGGCGAGAAUACGAAAGGAGGAAAUGAUUCUGGCGUCUCGCAAUUGAAGAAGGACGGACAUGCAAAGCAAGCGUCUACCGACAGCAACAAGUCGGUAAAGGAUCUCUUGGCGGAUUUCGAACGAAAGUCUCAACGGGCCCGUAAAUUGGAGGAAUGCGAAGAAGUUAAGCAUCGAGGAGUUUUCAGCGACACGGAAACCCUUCUUUACGAAACCGGUAGCGACUUUGACCAGCGAGAUAAGAGCGAGGAACGCGAGGAACAACAACAACAACAACAACAACGGACCGACGAAAUGUUGCUCCCAGAUCAAUCGAACGAGGUGGAAACGUAUUUGAGCACGUUGAAAAUAAAAAAAUCUCUAUCUCAGACGAGACAUAGAAGUAACAAAUCCUCUGUUGGCGAUUUUGAACAAAGAACAGUAGUCGAGGAGUCGUCGUCUUCAUCAUCACCGUCGUCGUCGUCGUCGUCGCCGUCGUCAUCGUCGUCGCCGUCGUCGUCGUCGUCAUCGUCGACCCACUGUCGAAUCGUCGAUGGUAAUUCGUGUCGCACCAAGAAAAUACGAGAAUCUGCUACGACGACGAAUACGGAAUAUCCGUUAACGCACGAACAAGUCAGAAGAUUUCCCGUCGAAGAAGGCGAAGGCGUCGUUACCGAAGAAGGCGAUUUGUCGAUACAAGAAGAUUUAAUACCGGAGGAACAUUAUCUUCCGAUGUCCCCAAGAAAAGCGAUUUUAGAUCCGAACGAGGAUGACAGGCCCAAUCCGAAAAUGAUGGAAAGUCUUUUCGCUAAUCUAGAGCACGAGGAGAGCUCGUACGUCGAGAUGGCGCAGAACAAUGUAAGCCAUUCGCUCUUGGCUCCUAGGAAGGAAACGAACGAGGAUCGUGAUUCCGGCGAUUAUUCGACCUUGGACGCUUCGCAUUACGAAUUUGUCUGCGUUUCCGACAGCAAGAUCGAACCGGUUUACAUGGAAGUUAGCCAGUUAUCGGAGAAGGAAGAGAGAGACGACGAUGGGAUCUCGUCUAAGACGUCGAAGGUACGAAAGAACGAUGAGAUAGGACGCAACGGGACUAAAUCGGAUCUCCCGGACAUUUUGACGGCUCUGAAAUCGGACAGUUCCGACGCCGACGACGAAUCUUCCAAGGAUUUCGAUUCUAUAGAUGCACCAAGACAUCCACGAUUUAGUCUUUCGGAUACAUUCCGACCUGCCUCCUAUUACUUGGGUGCCAGUCGUACGAUGAUAGCCGAAUUGCACGAUUCCUCCGACAGCGAACUCGUCUCCCCGCCUCCCAUUCCUACUUCCCCGCCGCCGUUAGAGGACUUGGAUUCUUUGCAAGAGAUGCAAGAUUCCUUGGAGAUUAAAAAGGUGGCAUCGCCUCAGGUAGCCGUGGUCACUAAGGAAAACGUAACGAGCGUGGAUUCUCCAAAGUCGUGGAACAGAUUGGAUCACGGGGACAGAGAUCAGAGAUCGCCGUCGAGGCUAUCCGAGAUGUCGGGGACCAUUAGUUCCACCUUUCGAGACAGUAGGAUGUCGUUGGAGAGCGCAAGUGGUAGUGAUUCGGUUUCCGUAGUAGAGCUUAGAAGUCCGGAAGAAGAGGCGGCGAGGCACAGACAAUUAAAGAGGAGACCAGUCAGCGACGAGGUUUGCGAGGUUUUGGACAGUCUCGACGAAUUGGAAUCUAUUGAGAGUCGUUUCGAAGUGGAUGGUGCCAGUAUAGAUCUCGACCGUUAUCUCGAGGAAUUGCAAGCGCGCGAUGCCUUUAACGUGGAUCUCUACGCUAAGGAUUUGAGUUACAACAGUAUUUAUGGUUUCAACGAGAACAUGUUGGUGGUCGACAAGCUACAAAAGACUACUUGUCAAGAUCUUUCGAGGAAAAUUAAGACUUUUAAUUUCGGACAGCCCCUUCGUUAUGACAACAGAAACAAGAAGAACGGCUCGGCAAGUAGCCUGCCAUCUAUGAGAGUUUGCGAAGUGCCGCCUGUGCCGUCCCAUCAGCACUCGCAAUCCUACACGGGGGACGCUCAUUACGAGAACAUAUCGAGUUUCUUGCCAUUGAGAAAUUCACCUAGCGUACGUUCGGACCCUUCGAGUGAGCAACGAUCGCGAGACGACAGAGCUACGCUCACGAACGAGGACGAGCUGACGGAACCAUGCCUUAACAAAGACUCAAGUUAUUCUUUGAGACCCGUUGAUGGACGAUCCUCAACACGCUCGAUAGCCCCCUUCGAUUCUUCCGCUUAUUCUUCUUCUUCUUCGGGAAAUCAUCUCGGGAACGAUCUCGUCCAAAAUCCAACGCAAACGGCCAAUAAUUCAUCGUACGGCGAGCAAAUGACGUCGAAUCGUUAUCCAAACGUUUUAACCAACCACAAAUCACCUACCACCUCUGAUCACGUUCAGCAUCCAUCUCCGAUCUCCUCGUCGUCGUCGUCGUCGUCAUCAUCGUCGGUAAAAUCCAAUUCAUAUUUAUCGUAUUUAAACGGUCCCGAGGAACGCGUUCAAGGCGAUCAAUCCGGAGCACCGUACUAUUACUCGGACCUUCGCGGCACCGUACGAGGUAGCAACAACAACAACGACGAGAGGCCGUCCAUCGUUCACGGUGGUCAUGUCUCGAGGCUGCCGCAAUUGAACAACCAAAGAGACGAUGCGUCGGCUAUGAACAAGAGGAACGACAUCGGUCGUAUAGUGAAUCCGAUAGCUAGGCAAGUUCCCAGACAGAUUCAAGUCGAAGGCAUCGACGAGGCCAGACGCAUUGCCGCAGAGCUCAGGAAAACUACUUGUCGAUUGUUGAGCGACAACAAAGCCGACUUGGUGGAUAAAAGAAAUUUUUACGAAGCCGACACCCUUCGGAGGGUGAAAUCUAACGAUCCUCUACCAGACGCAUCCUUGGCGGAGGUUAGUACGAGAAAUCUUUAUCCCCACGGAUUGCGGGAUAAAACAGCCGACGGGGCCCGUUUGAAUACAACGGACGACACGCAGCCGGACGAGGCACCUCUCCUCGUUCAAGCUUCGCAUCGGAGAUCUAGAUCGUUAGAGGGACUUUUAGACGACGUUGGCCUUCAAAAUCUCGUCGAACAAAGAAACCGGGCGAAUCGUUUGUUAGCCUUAUCGACUAGGCAAGCCGAGGAACGCGCCCGAAAUCUCUCCGCUCCAGUAGAUUGGUCGCAAACAACUACUUCGAACGAUUUUAACGUCUUGGAUCCUUGGGAACAGGAUUCCCUUUGGCGUGAAAAUCUUCGUAGAGUAAGCUUACGUAACGCCAGAUCAUUGGACAACUUGGAGAGUCAGGACGCUGGAUCAACGGCCAUAGGUUCCUCUUCUUGUCCCGAUGGCAAAACUCGUCCUAAGAUCACGCGAGGUGCUACUUACGUGAACGAUAGCAUGGCGAUGCGAAACGACAACGACUCGUCGUCGACUUUGGAUAGGCCGCGAGUCAAGCGAAGGAUCAACAACAAGCCCGAAGAGCUUGCCGUUCUCGAGACUCAUGAACCGACGAAUUCUCCUCUCGUCUCUUACGGUACUUGGGAUUCUCCGACCGAGGAAGUAUAUAGGAAAGAAUGUCCCCCUACCGAGGUACAAGACGGUCAUUUUUUAGCGGAAGGCAACCUUCCCUCGACGCGAGCGACGAGGGACUUACGUCCGUCGUCGGGGGCUUGCGUGGCGAGUCGUCCCGCGAAUUCUGCCACGAGUUCAGCCUCGUUCGAGUUGGAUCGCGAAAAGUUGCGACAAUGGGACCUACUGUCGAGCGCCUGCUUACUCCAGGAACAGCAGCAAAGUACUACGACGACAGUGGAGUCGGGGCGAGGGUUGCCAAUUGUCGAUCGGUUUGGACUUGUCAUCGAUUCGAAGAACAUGCCCGUGACUACUACCAUUUCGAUGACGACGACGACGACGACGACGACGAUGACAUUGACGACAUUGACGACAACGACGACAACAUUGACGACAACGACGAGCAGCAAUACCGGCGACGUGACUGUCGCGGAGGCAUUGAAGAUUACGAUAUCGGAAACAAUCGAUAAUAAGAGCGAUCCAACGUCGUUUCUUAAGGAACGUCAUCGAAGCUCGACGGCUUCCUUGGAGGCAUCAAAAAGACGAGAAGCGAUCGAGACGAUAGACUCGCGUAACCGGGCUCCAGCAUCCGGAUCUGGAUCGGUAAUAGGAAGAGAUCCACUUCCGCCGAGAGCAGUUAGUACGUCUCAUUUGCCCGAAAGAACUCUAACUCAGCCACCGGCUGUGGAAUCGACGUUGUCAUCGACCUUACCAUUGGCACGAAGCACCAGUGGUCAUUGUCAGCAGCAUUUUCCUAUUCAUCGAUCGAGCUCGCAAGAGCAGCAACAGCAACAAGAACAGCAACGAUUGCAGGCUGCCGAAUCGCAAAUUUUACGGGCCUCCAGUAACGGGGAUAUCGGAACUAGCCUAGCACAAACUUGUAACAAUGAAAUGAGGAAUUUAAAAAUGUCAUCGCCGAAUGGUCAUCCGGCUCAAAGAUUGCACUCGUCUACCGGACAUUUAAGAGUAAUGGAUUUGAGCGAACAUCGAAUUUCGAGUCCGAGCGAUAAUGAAAUUCAAGUUCACAGUCCAAUCGAAAGGAAAGUCAUUGGCUCGAUUGGUAUAGACGUGAACCGAAGUGGUGGUAGUGGGGUAAACAUCAGAGGGAAUCAACGGAUACGCGAGAGCACGGAACUACUUCACAAAAGGAGCAACGUUAAUUUGGCCCACCAAAGAAGAAUAGCUGGUGGUUCACCGACAGCAACGGCGGCGGCAACGGCAACGGCAACGGCAACGGCAACGGCAACGGCAACGGCAACGGCAACGGCAACGGCGGCAGCAACGGCGACGGCGACAUCGACGCCGACGAUCACGCCAACGCCAACUCCAACUCCAACUCCAACGUUAACUCCAACGUUAACACCCACACAGAUUGGAACGAAUGAUCUUGUUCGGGUCUCUGCUGGUGAACUCCUUGGAAGGACGCACGAAGAACUGGUUCUGUUGCUUAUUCAACUACGUAGGCAGAACGCGACCCUUCUCAAGGCCAUGGACAAUUGUAACAUGGAAAUUGAGGCUCAGGCAAGAUUGACAGAAUUGGACACACCAAGGCGUUUGGAGAAUCUUCAAAAACUUGAAGAGUUAAAGAGACACCUAAUGAAUCUUGAAAAGCAGUACGAGAAAGGGAAGCCUCUGAUAAAUCUCGUCGACAACAUGGUCAAGCUCGGCUCUUUAUACAAUCGUAAUACCGCCAAUGGAAGUAGCAGCAUAACAUCUUCUCGUAAUGAUUUAUUCCAAGAGAAUACGAAAAAUCAUCGCGAUCGUUUGGAAUUUAAUCAAAGAGUACAAGAACAACGUUUGCUGGCCGAAGAACGCAGAGAUUGGAAUAGACUCAGUCCAGAUCAUGGACAAUUGCAGGCCAAGGUGCAGCAGUUGUACAAACUGGACCGAUUACUUCAGGAAGAGUCAGGUACCCUUCAUAGCCUUCAACAGGACAAGGAGAUUCUAGAAAAAGCUCUUGGAGGCUUGCGACACAAAUUGCAAGGCAGCAGAAGCAACUUGAUUGAAGCAGAACGCUACAGGAAGCAACAACUUUUAUUGGAACGCGAAUUGAGCAGAGUCAGAGUACUAUUGGCACACAAUUCCAAGGUAAAGCCGGUAUUCUCAGGUCAGAAACUAGAAGAAACCGUAGCAGAAAAUGCCAGAUUAGAGCAAGAUUUGGUAGUCCUAAGGCAAAAAUUGCAAGCUUCUAAAAGAUACGCUGGUAAUAUGAGUAGAGACCCAUCAGGUACAACGGCUCCUUUGGAAAUGGAAUUGAGAAGAGUUCAACAAUUGGUUGGUGAUCUUCAAAGGCAGAGAAAAGAGCUCAGUGUUCAGGUUCAACAGCUCACCGAAAAAUCUCACAGUUUAGUACAACAAAUUCGGCCACAAUCAUCUCCUGCUCCGCCUGUUCAUCAUUCAAAGAAACGCAAUCAAAACUCUUGGCUGGAAACCGAUUUAGAUUCUGGGAUUACUCUUGAUCACGGCCUUGGCUCACCGGUGAGCCCAUCACUGUUAUCCUCGGCACAUGGAAAACAAAACCUGGAGAGUCCUUAUCGUCGAUACGCAUCACCAACGCAACACAAGAAGUCACCAUCGCCAAAUCGGCAACACGUCGAACAAUCUUCUGUACAAAGCUCGCAUAACCAUAUCUCGAGCUUGUCACCGCAAUUACGGGAACAAAUUCAGCAACAUCAAUUGAAGCAACAAUUGCUGAAAGAUCAAAUGCAGGGAAAGGGCAGUUUGAUCCAAAUUAAUGUUUCUCCAUUGUACGUCAAUACCGAGUCCAGAAUUCAAGAUACAAGCAAAAGCAACGAAAGCGGGAACCAAACGAAUAGUGGUGGGCCAAAUAUUUUACCGGAAUACAUUCCACCACCACCGAUUCAUCCUUUUAAUGAAGAAACAUCUUUAACGAAUGACAAUUACAAGCAAAACGAAGAUAACAAAUUUGCAGGUUUGUUGCACAAUCGAGAGAAGCAAGAAAUAAAGACCGUCAGGAUCGUUAAACGAGAAUCCGAGAGACGUCAAAGGGAUCGAGGAGAUAGAACUGGUAAUAUUGGAAUUCCAUUAACGAACGGACUUCAAGCGCCUGGCGUAGCAAAAAGGUUGUCCGACGAUGACGUUGGUGGUACACAGAAAUUCGAAAAGCCCCAGUUGGGUAAAGUCAUUGAAGAAGUACCGAUCGUUCACGCUCAAAGUACCGUACACCUGACUGAGCUUGACGACGUACAAUUCCAAAGAAGUAUGUCUCUUCCACGAGGAUUUGGUGGUCAGCGACAUCAGCCAAGUGUUCAUCAUGUUCCUGUUGCUCCACCACCUCGCAGCGAUAGCAUGCACGCUCUUAAAACGAUUAUGAUGCGAAGACACAAAGUUAAGUUUGAAAAUCACGACGGAAGCUCCGAUAGCACAUUGUCACCACACAUCGAUAGCCCUACGUCGAGUUCGCAGAUGCCAAUUAGUACGUCAAACUACUCAACGAGUCCACCUUAUAGCCCAAGCCAUCAUCAGAAUUAUCAUCCUGGACAAUCGAUAUCGAAGGGAUUCAAUCAACAACAACAACAACAACGAUACUACUCGCCGCACCCGCAAUACGGACAAUACGAGAAUUUCACGUCAUUCGCAAAAAACUCAAUAGCAUUGAGCCCAGAAACGAUCUCUCUUAACAAUCUCAGUGGCGUACCUCCAGAUAGGCCAACAUUUGGGUCGAUCGUUAAUGUGAAUAGCACCUCGGAUUCCCCACAAUUGUCGCCAGUAUUCAAGAGCGAGGCCGCAAAGCAGAUCAUUAAAGAGAUGACUGAGAGAAAAGUCGACGGACCAAGAAGAAGACAGAUUCCGAAAGAAAAGAGAAGACACUACACCGUUUCUAGUAGCAAACCCGUUCUAGAUCUCGAGGACAGCUUCUCCAGGAUGGGUAUGGGUAGAGCAAGAGACGACUUGGACAUGGAACAGGCUCUCAGACCUAGGAUCAAUGCUCCGGACGUCGUAAGAUCGACUUUGAGUCACAAGGAGCUGAAAUAUAAUGAGAGUACGAUCGAUCAACUGUUGGGCACUCCAAAUAAGAUCGUCAUUCCUGAACGUUAUAUACCUGAACAGACGCCAGAAUUAACGGCGGAAGAGCAAGAGCAACGUUUGAAGAAAGCGGAGGCCAUAAGGAAGAUGCUUUCUGAAACGACUGUCACUGCACCCGAUGGAACCGAUGACGACAUCGAUCUCGAUAAAUCGGACACGUUGAAAAGAAAAGUAGUCGAGGAGAAACGACAGAGAGAACACAUUCUUCAGCUCAAUCAAAUUCUUGCGAAGCAAGUGAUGGAGAAAAGUAAAAUGGUGGCCGAUACCAACUCGCAUGGCCUUAUCCUUACUCUCUGAUAUACAACUCGGUAUAAAUAAGUUGAGCGAUAGAAAUACAUAAAUCGAGGCGAGUGUUGUUUGGAUUGUUUGUGCUGUGUGUAGGUAACCAGGCGCACUGACAGACAUGCUUUCUCCCACGUAGGACACACACUCCUUCACGUUUAUCGUUUUUCAGCUUUGUACGUCGUUCGUUCGUUGCUUUCACAGCGUGAAACUUCCAAAAAAUGAUCGUUCAUCGAUCACUGACCGGAUCUUUUUGUCGUCGACAGUCAAGGCACUGGCUACGCUUCCAUUGAAGACUGAAUCGAGUAUAGACGACGAAGACCUCUCUCCUGUCACACCGUUGCCGCUCUAUCAGCAAAGAGAAAACUAUUACUCCUAAAUACAUCUGGAUGAAAAAUCUGGAUAUAUCGUUUCUUUAUACUCACAACGACAACGAAAAUGGAGAAUUUUUGCUCGUCGAUGAAGAAGAGGAAGAGAAACGGGAAGAAAAAGAAAAAGAGAAGAAGAAGAAGAAACAGAUGCACAAUCAUUAUACUACUGCCAAUGAAACGCGCGAAACAAGAAAAGAACAUCGUUACAAUGGAAAUUAUAAGAGAAUACAAUAAAUAAGAAGGAAAAAGAAAAAUAAUGUCUGAGAUUCGUCGAAAUCGACGAUCGAACGAAAUGUGCUUUCUAUUUUUUUCUUUUUUUUCUGUUUUGAUUUAUUUCUUUAAUAACAUUAAUAUUAUAUAAAAAAUGAUAGUGUCGAUGUACGAAACACCAUUAAAAUAUGUAAUUUAGAAUAUCAGUAUGGGACCGCGGCGAAAUGAUAGCUAAGAAAUAAAUAAAUGGAAAAUAAUAAAAUGCGUACGUCGAACGAGCUUUUCGGCGAGCUUAGAUAAUUAGCAAUAAUCGUAGGUAUUAAGGUACAAUAAUCGCACAACAUACUUCUCUUUGGGAAUAAAUCUAAACGAGAUAUUUGUAGUUGCCAUAAAAAUAUAUACUCGUAUAUUGAAUUUCCCGUAGGAUUCUUCAAAGAGGAAAAUGUUUCAUUUCAAAUCGAACAUCGUUGCGUUUCGUUCAUAUCUACAAUACAACGCCAUCGAAUUGAUCGUACAAAUCGAAUUGAUUUCUUCAUUCGCGACAGGACGUUUAGUAUAAAUAAAAACAAUAUCCCAAGAAAAAGAAAACGAUAAAACGGAGUGCCAAAAGUCAGUGCGAUUAAAGCGCGGGUGCUACGACACUAUUGUCAAUUACAGAUAAAUCGUAAUUGCGUUAGCGCAGAAACAAAAAAUCAUUGGCGAAGACAUUUGAAUAAUAAAAAAAAAAUAUGUCGAGCCUCUCUGCCAAGGUUCUUUUUAUAAGCGCGUUAUUAUAAUACUAUAUACGUACGUACGCACGCGCGCGUAUGUGUGCUGGAUAUGUAUGCAUGUAUGUAUGUAUACACACAUAUAGGGAUACAUUAUAUAUAAAUAUAUACAAAGGCUUACACUUUCUCUGUGCGAACGUGUAUUAUUAUGACGCGACUGUACAUAAGAAGACUAUUAGAUACGCAAGUGCGUAGCAGGUGUGAAUUUGUGUGUGUGUGUGUGUGUGUGUAUGUAUAUAUAUAUAUAUAUUAUAUGUACACACACACACACACACACACACAUAAUAUAAAAUAUAAAAUAAAAUAGAUAAAAAAAGAAAGGCCCCUUGAAAAGUACGGCCCUAAAUUUGAUGAAAAGAGCAAAAAGAUGUUCCUUCGUCGAUGUGCUGGCCUUCCGUCGACGCUGAUGGAUAUUCGCGAGUUUUAUCGUAUGGUUAGAUGGCACUUUAAUAGAUACAUACAUAUGUUAAAUCGACGGUGCGAGACUUCUUAUAUUACGUAUGUAUUACACGUAAGGUAACCGAGAUCUUUAUUGGAGGGCUCGUUAAAUAGUCAUUGCGUCAAACGCGGUAUACGAGAAGCGAAACAUGUGUAUCCAAUUACCGUGACCGCAAAGGAAACAAAUCACUGUUAUUGUUAUAUCGAUGAAAUAAAAUUAAUACGAUGAAUUAA